rnacentral:lncRNA from 1 species
UGCUUAAUAGAUAAUGAACACCCUUGCUACAUUUUAUCACCCAUAAGUAUUUUCUUCAUUUAACUAUAAUAACAUUCUAAACUAAAAUUCUCAAGGGACAUUUAAGUUCUUUUAUUAGAUACUCAUAUGUUCAGAUUUUUAGUAAAUAAGUGUCAUGACAUAAGUUCUUUCUCAUUCCACUUGUUUGUUUCUACCAAUUAACUAUANACCAGAAAACAAUUUUUGAGUGAAUUUACAUGAGUUUUGAUUCACUUAGUUUAGUGAAAAUGGAAAAAAAUAAAGAUGAAGUCUUCAUGUAUUUUCAUGAUGCACCCCCUCCAUUACUAAUCUCACCCCUUCCCUUUGUUGAAAUGACUCUUCUAUCCUUCUCCUUGGGUUAAGUUGUUGGACUUUAUUUAUUGGGCUUGGACCCUACGUAUUAAUAAGAGAAACUUACAGUUUUACUAUUACAAAAUUUCAAAAAUAAUGAACGGAGACAUACAUUCAGCUGCUUGCAAGAUCUCUUUAUAGAACUCAUUUGAAAGAAAAGAAAUCUUAAAUACUGUAAGAAUUUUAACUUUUUUUUUUUUAAAUUUUGUGUGGUAAAUGCAUCGAUCUAUUAGAAGAUAAUUCUCAAAAUUUAUUUNUCCCACUUUUUUAAGCACCUAUUCAGGUUUUAUGAUCGUCAUAAGAAGAAAAUUAAGGUGAAGUUGAAUAUUUACUUAAUAUAAUUUUGGAGAAUUUGCAUUUUU